rnacentral:rRNA from 1 species
UGGGGAAUUGUUCACAAUGGGCGCAAGCCUGAUGACGCAACGCCGCGUGGGGGAUGAAGGUCUUCGGAUCGUAAACCCCUGUCGAAUGGGACGAAAGACUCGCGAGUGAAUACCUCGCGAGAGUGACGGUACCGUUAAAGGAAGCCACGGCUAACUCUGUGCCAGCAGCCGCGGUAAUACAGAGGUGGCAAGCGUUGUUCGGAAUUACUGGGCGUAAAGGGCGCGUAGGCGGCCCUCUAAGUCAGACGUGAAAUCCCCCGGCUUAACCUGGGAACUGCGUCUGAUACUGGAGGGCUUGAGUAUGGGAGAGGGAUGUAGAAUUCCAGGUGUAGCGGUGAAAUGCGUAGAUAUCUGGAGGAAUACCGGUGGCGAAGGCGGCAUCCUGGACCAUUACUGACGCUGAGGCGCGAAAGCUAGGGGAGCAAACGGGAUUAGAUACCCCCGUAGUCCCUGAGCGGGCUGGCAAGGCG